rnacentral:lncRNA from 1 species
AAAGAAUGUAUGCACCAUGCAGCCAGCCCUGUCCUGGUUUGUGACAGUGCCAAAGAAGCCAUGUGAGUCAAAUGUGGGGAUCAUGUGGAUGAAGCAGGAGUGGUUGAUGGCCAGACCUAGAUGGUCCUCGCCCCAGGGAAGCUAUGCACAGGUGGGCAAUGGUUGUGGAUACCUCUUCAUCUCAUGUAUCUGGUUUUU